CUACUUCUCCAAUCUCCAUGUUCCACUACACUUCAUCCACAGGAAUUAGGUAGGUCAGAUUGCAAAAGUCAUCUCUUUUGAAUUUUCUCCUUCGCAUUUUGUUCCUUUUUUAGGAAUUUUCUUUUGAAGAAAAAAAGAAGUAUACCAACUGAAAUUGAUAAAGCUUCAACUGCACCCAUCACUUGCUUCCAUUUAGAUUAGCUUCUUCAAUUUCCAAUCCAAAACCCACCAUUUUUUUUUUUCUGAGUCUCUGUUUCUCUCUCUCCAAGCACCCCCAGAUUAAUAACAGAGAGGAACAAAGAGACGGGGAAGAAAUGUGUCCGUUGAGGCUAAUUCUGAUUUUCCUCUCGGCUAUUCUCGCCGGGUCUUCGUCAUCAGGAACGUCAAAUCUGAGCGCCCACAGCUUACAGAUGAUCUUGAUGUUGCCGACAAAGAUUCUUCCGAUUCCACCAAUCGCUUCUACAAGGUUGGGCUGGCUUUGAAGUCUGGAUUUUGGACGUGUGUGGAUAUGGCAAGUGGUCGAUAUUAUGGAGGCAUCUGGUUUCUUCUCCGAAGUCCUCUUGAUAUUUUUCCUCAUUCGCAUUCUAAUCCUUUCUGGUUAGCGUCAAGAUAAAUAAUCACGCUUUACAUUUGGAGGUGGUGGGUAAUUGCUGCUUCUCUUCAGCAUAUACGCUGUAAUUUCAGAUUGAUCAGAAAACACCAUUGUUGUUGUUGUUGUUGUUGUUGUUGGUGAACAUACAUGAACUAUAAUAUCACUGUGUAGAUUCAGGAUUUUGGUGGAAAUGCAAGAACGUUAUGAUUCUCAAUUUGGAAACAUUUUUUUCUUUAA